AGAAUCAACGCUGGCGGCGUGCCUAACACAUGCAAGUCGAACGAGAAAGUGGAGCAAUCCACGAGUAAAGUGGCGCACGGGUGAGUAACACGUGACUAACCUACCCUUGAGUGGGGGAUAACCUAGAGAAAUCUGGGCUAAUACCGCAUAAUACCUUCGGGUCAAAGGAGCAAUUCGCUUAAGGAGGGGGUCGCGGCCGAUUAGUUAGUUGGCGGGGUAAUGGCCCACCAAGACUAUGAUCGGUAUCCGGCCUGAGAGGGCGCACGGACACACUGGAACUGAAACACGGUCCAGACUCCUACGGGAGGCAGCAGUGGGGAAUUUGCGCAAUGGGGGAAACCCUGACGCAGCAACGCCGCGUGGAGGAUGAAGUCCCUUGGGACGUAAACUCCUUUCGAUCGGGACGAUAAUGACGGUACCGAGAGAAGAGCCCGGCUAACUCGUGCCAGCAGCCGC
rnacentral:rRNA from 1 species